rnacentral:rRNA from 1 species
UGGGGAAUAUUGCACAAUGGGCGCAAGCCUGAUGCAGCCAUGCCGCGUGUAUGAAGAAGGCCUUCGGGUUGUAAAGUACUUUCAGCGAGGAGGAAGGCGUUGUGGUUAAUAACCGCAACGAUUGACGUUACUCGCAGAAGAAGCACCGGCUAACUCCGUGCCAGCAGCCGCGGUAAUACGGCGGGGGCAAGCGUUAAUCGGAAUUACCGGGCGUAAAGCGCACGCAGGCGGUCUGUCAAGUCGGAUGUGAAAUCCCCGGGCUCAACCCGGGAACUGCAUCCGAAACUGGCAGGCUAGAGUCUUGUAGAGGGGGGUAGAAUUCCAGGUGUAGCGGUGAAAUGCGUAGAGAUCUGGAGGAAUACCGGUGGCGAAGGCGGCCCCCUGGACAAAGACUGACGCUCAGGUGCGAAAGCGUGGGGAGCAAACA